rnacentral:rRNA from 1 species
AGUGAACGCUGGCGGUAGGCCUAACACAUGCAAGUCGAACGGCAGCACAGUAAGAGCUUGCUCUUACGGGUGGCGAGUGGCGGACGGGUGAGGAAUACAUCGGAAUCUACUUUUUCGUGGGGGAUAACGUAGGGAAACUUACGCUAAUACCGCAUACGACCUACGGGUGAAAGCAGGGGAUCUUCGGACCUUGCGCGAUUGAAUGAGCCGAUGUCGGAUUAGCUGGUUGGCGGGGUAAAGGCCCACCAAGGCGACGAUCCGUAGCUGGUCUGAGAGGAUGAUCAGCCACACUGGAACUGAGACACGGUCCAGACUCCUACGGGAGGCAGCAGUGGGGAAUAUUGGACAAUGGGCGCAAGCCUGAUCCAGCCAUACCGCGUGGGUGAAGAAGGCCUUCGGGCUGUAAAGCCCUUUUGUUGGGAAAGAAAAGCAGCAGGUUAAUACCCCGCUGUUCUGACGGUACCCAAAGAAUAAGCACCGGCUAACUUCGUG